GUGGUGGUGCAGGUCUAUUUAGAGUUGGUUGAGGUACUUGUUAUGGAUGGUGAGGAUCAUAUGGUGGUGGUUGGAGGCUUUGAUAGGUAACAUUUGUGGUUUGGGUAAUAAUUGGUGGAGCAGUAAAUGUGGGAUAGAGCAUUCGAUUAAGAGCGUCCGGUGAAAUUUGAGUAGAGGAGUCAUGGUAAACUCCACUUGUGUUUCCAAAAUGAUUAGUCAGGGGA
rnacentral:lncRNA from 1 species